CCCUUAGAUGUUCUGGGCAGCACGCGCGCUACAAUGGUCUUCGCAAACGGAUGCAUUCUCGAAGGAGAAUGCCAAUCUUGGAAUCUAUGCCUUGGUCAGGACAGUUGCUUGCAAUUUUUCGACUCGAACCAGGAAUUCCUUGUAAUCGUGAUUCAUCACAUCACGAUGAAUACGUCCCUGCCCUUUGUACACACCGCCCGUCGCUCCUACCGAUCGAAGAGUUAGGUGAAUUGUUUUGAUCGAUAAGAUUUGACUAUGGUCAACUCUCGUUGUGAAAUUCUGUGAAGCUGACUGUUUAGAGGAAGGAAAAGUCGUAACA
rnacentral:rRNA from 1 species